rnacentral:lncRNA from 10 species
AUGGUGUCCCGCAGCACAGUGUGGUGCUCGCACCUGUCUGCGUUCACCGUGAGUCAUCGCUGCACCUGCAUCUUGUGGCCUUUAUGCGAUAGUGAUCAUAAUGCUGAACGGUCACCAGGUCACGGAAUUCCACCGGGAAUGGGAAGAGCCUCUGGAGCAGCACGCAAAGUCCUGCUAUCUGCAUUCUGUGGUUGGAGUGAGUUGGGUCAGCCCACCAAUGUAUUUCCUCAUUAG